UACGAAGGGGGCUAGCGUUGCUCGGAAUCACUGGGCGUAAAGGGUGCGUAGGCGGGUCUUUAAGUCAGAGGUGAAAUCCUGGAGCUCAACUCCAGAACUGCCUUUGAUACUGAAGAUCUUGAGUUCGGGAGAGGUGAGUGGAACUGCGAGUGUAGAGGUGAAAUUCGCAGAUAUUCGCAAGAACACCAGUGGCGAAGGCGGCUCACUGGCCCGAUACUGACGCUGAUGCACGAAAGCGUGGGGAGCAAACAGG
rnacentral:rRNA from 1 species